UUUUUAACCACAAGAUUUUAACCAAAUGGCAUUAUUUUCAUAGCAAGAAGCAGAGUUUUCAGGACAGAAGAGGAAAUCCUUCAAUGAAGGCAAAGUUUGAAAGGCCAAGAUGUUGCUACUCUGCUUCUAUAGAAGGAAAGACUUCUGUGGCAAAACACAAUGAGAGAAACAAGAUGUGUCCUCCAAUGUCUCUUAUCCCUGUAAAACUGACCUUGCUGGUUCUACUCUACAAACGAGCACAAUCAAGUAGCUCUUGUGCAGCAUAUCAAAA
rnacentral:lncRNA from 12 species